rnacentral:rRNA from 1 species
AAACUUAAAGGAAUUGACGGGGCCCGCACAAGCGGUGGAGCAUGUGGUUUAAUUCGACGCAACGCGAAGAACCUUACCUGGACUUGACAUCUGGGGAAUCCCUAUGAAAGUAGGGAGUGCCCUUCGGGGAGCCCCAAGACAGGUGCUGCAUGGCUGUCGUCAGCUCGUGUCGUGAGAUGUUGGGUUAAGUCCCGCAACGAGCGCAACCCUUGUCUCUAGUUACCAUCAUUUGGUUGGGGACUCUAGAGAUACUGCCAAGGUUAACUUGGAGGAAGGUGGGGAUGACGUCAAGUCCUCAUGGCCUUUAUGGGUAGGGCUUCACACGUCAUACAAUGGUCGGUACAGAGGGUUGCCAACCCGCGAGGGGGAGCUAAUCCCACAAAGCCGAUCGUAGUCCGGAUCGCAGUCUGCAACUCGACUGCGUGAAGUCGGAAUCGCUAGUAAUCGUGGAUCAGCAUGUCACGGUGAAUACGUUCCCGGGUCUU